rnacentral:lncRNA from 1 species
CAAUGGAAGAUUACUAGGGAACCUGAUAGACUCACACCUUCGAGGUGUAUAUUAAGUUCAACCUUCCCUAGCUGAAGAGGCUAAAUUUGCAUCUUUGAUCCAUAGGAUAGAGGCCCUAGAACUCAAGGGACACACCCAAGUGAACCAAGUUGCAACAACCACUUGCAAUGAGUGUAAUGCCACAGACUACAUGAUGGAAGGAUAUCUUUUCUUAAUGGGUCCA